rnacentral:rRNA from 1 species
ACAUGCCUACAACAUAGAGUUAAUGCACCAGAUCUCAUUAGAACUCCGCAGUUAAGCAUGCUCAAGCUAGAGUAGUACUAGGAUGGGUGACCGCCCGGGAAGUCCUACUAUUUUACAUGCC